AGAAAUUCUACUCCCAGGAAUUUCUCCUAAGAAGAUAAUCAGAAAAGUUUACAAAGAUGAAUAGAAAAGAAGAGUCACUGCAGCCUUAUUUGUAAAAGUGAAAAAUAGCAACAGCCCAAAUGUCAUGAAUGGAGAAUUAAUAUAUGGUGCAUCCAUACAAAAAUACUGUGCAGCGAGUAAGCCAAUGAAGCCCAAAAUUUCUGACAUGGACAUUGACAUAGCAGAGUGACAAUAACGAGGUUAUAAAACAUCAUCAGUGAAAGUUCCAAGUGUGAAAGCAAGGAUAAAUCAAGAUGCCUCUUGGCAUGAAACUUUACUGGACAACCUUGAAGUCAUGCCAGUACCCAGUCUGCUGAGACCAAUGCUCAAUAGACAUUUCAGCACAGGAAGCCUCUUAAAUCCCUUCAAAGGAAAAUGGGUGUCAUGAAAAUGUCAAGCCUGGCCUUCUCACUACUUACUCAAAAAGUACUUCCUAAGCGCCUACUUUGAGUCACAUCUGGGUCACAGGAAAGUGUGGUGGAAAGUCUGCACAUGGCCCAGAAAGCUCCUUCAGCUCCAACAUUCAGAACCUGCCUGCCUGCCUUCUGAGUAUCCCAAGGGCACUGUCUGACUCUUUCAUACCCACCAUUUGUCUCCCUGGACUUCUUGCUAAAUCCCUGUCUUCACUUCCUCACUUAGGGAAUUCAUGCCAGCUCUCUGACUUGAUCUAUGACCCUGCUCAUCACUGUAGGAGAAAAAAAAAAAAAUACAACCACCUUUCCAUGCUGUCAACUUAAUUAUCCCUCCCACAUUUAUCUCAUGCCUGAAAUGUAUUACCUAAAUGUUGAGUGUGCAGUUCAGGGUAAAACUGACCAACUGGAGCACAUCCAAAGAAGAGCAACC
rnacentral:lncRNA from 10 species